AGUUAUUUAGCUUAUAUAAAGUUUAUAUUUUGAAAAUAUAAGAAAGAGAAAUUUAAUAACUU
rnacentral:tRNA from 1 species